CACAAGGUCGUCAGGGUAGGGGCUAGGUCCAGUUAACACCAGAUCAGUAGGGUAGGGGCUAGGUCCAGUUAACACCAGAUCAGCAGGGUAGGGGCUAGGUCCAGUUAACACCAGAUCAGUAGGGUAGGGGCUAGGUCCAGUUAACACCAGAUCAGUAGGGUAGGGGCUAGGUCCAGUUAACACCAGGUCGUCAGGGUAGGGGCUAGGUCCAGUUAACACCAGAUCAGUAGGGUAGGGGCUAGGUCCAGUUAACACCAGAUCAGUAGGGUAGGGGCUAGGUCCAGUUAACA